CAGCAGCCACGGUAAUACGGAGGGUGCAAGCGUUAAUCGGAAUUACUGGGCGUAAAGCGUGCGUAGGCGGUUCGUUAAGUCUGUUGUGAAAGCCCCGGGCUCAACCUGGGAAUGGCAAUGGAUACUGGCGAGCUAGAGUGUGUCAGAGGAUGGUGGAAUUCCCGGUGUAGCGGUGAAAUGCGUAGAGGUCGGGAGGAACAUCAGUGGCGAAGGCGGCCAUCUGGGACAACACUGACGCUGAGGCACGAAAGCGUGGGGAGCAAACAGGAUUAGAUACCCGAGUAGUCCCUGUCUCUUAUAC
rnacentral:rRNA from 1 species